UACAAAAUAAGUCUCCGCAUUACUGAAAGAGAGCGGGCACAGAAAAAUGGCGAAGUACUAAAAAAGGGAGAAGAGAAGUUCUUUGUGUUAUCAUAACUUUCUCUCUCUACUUCUUGUAGAAAAAGUAUCACUUUCUCUCUCUAUACAUACACAUCCAUAGCUAUAUGUAGAAAAAUGGUGGAGAGGAGCUGUUGAUGGUGCUAAAACACUUUGCUUUUUUUGCUCAGAAUUUGGUGAGAAAGAACUGAUUUUUCACUUGAAUUUUAGCUCUUAACCCAGAUUGUAACCAACCACUUUGGUAUCUGUUAGUCCACCAACAUGACUAUGAGUAAUCCGACUAUUGAAACUGAAGAUACUUUUGCCAGCUUGCUUGAACUUGCUGCCAACGAUGAUAUAGAGGCCUUCAAAAUAUGGAUUGAGCGUGACCUAGCUAGUAUUCAUGAGGUUGGACUGUGGUAUGGGCGCCAAAAGGGCUCAAAGCAAAUGGUUCUUGAUCAUAGAACUCCUUUGAUGGUUGCUGCUACGUAUGGAAGUAUUGAUGCUCUAAAGCAGAUUCUUUCUCUACCUGAAGUUGAUGUGAAUCGUUCUUGUGGCCAUGAUAAGAGCACUGCCCUUCACUGUGCUGCCUCUGGUGGAUCUCUGAAUGCUGCAGAAGCUGUCAAACUUCUCUUAGGAGCCGGUGCUGACCCACACUCUAAAGAUAUCAAUGGUCAUUACCCUAUUGAUGUUAUAGUUGUAUCUCCUAGCUUUCACCCGGUUAAAUCAUGCCUAGAAAGCCUUCUGAUGACUAGUACAAUUGGGGACUGCAAGCUGCGGGUGUCAGUGUCCACUUCAAGCUCUUCUCCUCCACGUUCGCCUUCUCCUGGAAAUAGAUCACCAUAUUCUGCUUCAGACUCAAACUUUUUCCCCAAAGAGUGCAAAGUCCAGUGACCUCCCUUCAUAUUCUAUACCAGAAAAGAAAGAAUACCCUGUUGACCCCUCCUUGCCUGACAUAAAAAACGACAUAUAUUCUUCAGAUGAAUUCAGGAUGUUCUCAUUUAAGAUCAGACCUUGCUCUCGUGCAUACUCGCAUGAUUGGACUGAAUGUCCAUUUCUCCAUCCAGGCGAAAAUGCUCGAAGAAGGGAUCCAAGAAAAUACCACUACAGUUGUGUACCUUGCCCUGAGUUCCGCAAGGGAGCUUGCCAACGUGGGGACAUGUGUGAAUACGCUCAUGGGGUCUUUGAGUGUUGGCUGCACCCUGCACAAUAUCGAACUCGGCUUUGCAAAGAUGGUAUAGAUUGUAACAGAAGAGUUUGCUUCUUUGCCCACAAGCAGGAUGAUCUAAGACCGCUUUACGUUUCUACUGGUUCUGCUGUUCCAUCACCUUGUGGGAAUUCUGCUGCUGUCAAUGCUAUGGAUUUUGCUGCAGCCAUGGGCCUAAUACCAGGUUCUCCUUCCUCAGUCUCUGUCAUGUCACCAUCACCUUUCACACCUCCAGUAUCACCUUCUGCUAAUGGAAUUUCAAGCAUGGGUUGGGCCCAAAGAAACGCCCCACCCUUGCAUCUUCCUGGCAGCUUUGUUCAUUCGAGUCGCCUACGGUCAUCGCUCAGUGCUAGAGGUAUACCAGCUGCAGACCUGUCUACAUGUCCAGAUUUUGAUGUGCAACGACAGCAGUUCCUAAAUGAGUUUUCCUGCCUAUCCCAGCGUAACAGCAUGAGUUCUGAUUCUUUGAACCAUUCAGCUCGUCCUAUGACCUUUACCCGUGCAAAUAUUGAGGAUUAUUUUCCUGCAGAGAGCUCAUCUCCUAGAUUUUCUGAUCGAACAGUAGCUCAAUCUGUUUUUUCCCCUACCCACAAAUCUGCAGUUUGCAGUCCAUUUCAGCAGCAGCAACAGAACCUGUUAUCUCCCAUUAAUACAAAUUUCUCGCCAAGAAACAUUGAUAAUCCUUUAUUACAAGCCUCAUUUGGAGUUCCAUCAUCAGGGAAGAUGUCUCCCCGAGCAAUGGAGCCAAUCUCACCAAGAAAUUCCCGUGUGUCAAUAUUAGCGCAACGUGACAGGCAGCAGCAAUUUAGAAGUCUCAGCUCUCGUGAUCUUGGCUCCAAUGUUUCUGCUAUUGUUGGGUCACCAACUGAUACUUGGUUAAAGUGGGGUACAGAUGUGGGAAAGCCAGACUGGGCUGUCAAUACUGAGGAGUUGGGUAGGCUAAGGCAAUCAUCAUCAUUUAAGCUUGCUAACAAUGGAAAAGAGCCUGAUCUGUCAUGGGUGCAAUCUCUUGUCAAAGAAUCACCACCAGAAAUGAUGAAGGAUAAAUGUGUUCGUCAUGUCUCUGAACCUGAACUAACAGGUGCUGGUGCAGAUCUUGGUGAAGGCUCUACGUCCCAUUCCCAGAUUGAUCAAUUGAGUGCAUGGAUGGAGACAAAAAACACUAAUUGAUUUCUUCUGUCUGCCCAAGCCUUGUUGGGUACCUGUAGAAUUAGUUGAGGUGUGCUCAAGCUGGCUCGAACACCACCGUCAUAAAGAAACAUUCUAAUUCUUCAUUUUACUGAUCUUUGACAUCUUCAAAAGCAAGGUUCUGGUAAAUAGUAACUACAUUUUAUUCUACUUUUCUUGACAUGUUUUCUUAGGAGCAAGACAACCGUGGAAACUGAUAAACAACAAGCAGAGGAAGGAGGUCCUAAAUUCGGAAGAAUAUUGACCUUUUUUUGUACUCUAUUUGAAUUUGAUUCUUGCUUUUCUUGACAUGAAGAUAAGCUUGUACCUUAUUUCAUUGUACUGAAACCAAUUGAUAUGAUCUUUCACAUGAAGUUA